CCAAUGCACGCUUUUAUAGUGUGGAAAUUGGUGAUUUACAAUAACUCAGCAGAUCGUACAGUGAAAACUGACGAUAAAUCAUUCAAGUUUCUGACCUAUCAGCUUUCGACGGUAUGGUAUUGGCUUACCGUGGCAGUGACGGUUAACGGGGAAUUAGGGUUCGAUUCCGGAGAGGAAGCCUGAGAAACGGCUACCACAUCUAAGGAAGGCAGCAGGCGCGCAAAUUACCCAAUCCUAACAGAACAAGGGAGGUAGUGACAAGAAAUAACAAUACAAGGCAUUAAAAUUGCUUUGUAAUUGGAAUGAUAGAAAUUUAAACACUUUCUAAAGUAUCAAUUGGAGGGCAAGUCUGGUGCCAGCAGCCGCGGUAAUUCCAGCUUCAAUAGCGUAUAUUAAAGUUGUUGCAGUUAAAAAGCUCGUAGUUGAAUUUUUGCUAAAAUUAACUGGUCUGCUUUUUAUUAAAGUAGUAUCUUGGUAUGUUUUUAGCAAUAAUGUCUUAUGAAAUGUUUUUUACUUCAGUGUAAAAAACAAAAAUUAAGAUUUUUACUUUGAGAAAAUUAGAGUGUUUCAAGCAGGCUUACGCUUUGAAUACUGCAGCAUGGAAUAAUAAAAUAGGAUUUUGGUUCUACAUUAUUGGUUUUAAGAGCUUCAUUAAUGAUUAAUAGGGACAGUUGGGGGCAUUUGUAUUUAACUGUUAGAGGUGAAAUUCUUAGAUUUGUUGAAGACAAACCACUGCGAAAGCAUUUGCCAAAGAUG
rnacentral:rRNA from 2 species